ACACCAGACUCCCACCAUUUCCCUGCAGCAGGGCUGCUACCAACUAUAUUAAAUACAUUGGGAAGGAAUAUGGGACUAGGGCCGGUUUACUGCAGAAGAAACCAGUGAGAAAGGGAGGCCUACACCAUAAGUUUCUUAGGAAAUCUUCUCCACUGGGGAGAGAGGGGAAGGGGAUUGGACUCACUUUUUUUAAAAACCUCAGAUAACAAGACAUGGGAUUGUGAAGGAGUAGGUGAUUUUUUUAAAAACUGCAUUUUUUUUUAAGGAGAGGGGUGCAAACCUGUCCAUGGGGCUGAUUUUUUUUAGUUUUGUUUGUGUUUUUUUUUUGGUCAUAAACACUCCAAGAACUGAGCACCUGCCAGGCUCUCCUGUUGCC
rnacentral:lncRNA from 1 species